rnacentral:rRNA from 1 species
UUUUACUCUUACGGGAGGCAGCAGUGGGGAAUAUUGCACAAUGGGCGAAAGCCUGAUGCAGCGACGCCGCGUGAGGGAUGACGGCCUUCGGGUUGUAAACCUCUUUCAGUAGGGAAGAAGCCCUCUUUGGGGGUGACGGUACUUGCAGAAGAAGCGCCGGCUAACUACGUGCCAGCAGCCGCGGUAAUACGUAGGGCGCAAGCGUUAUCCGGAAUUAUUGGGCGUAAAGAGCUCGUAGGCGGUUUGUCGCGUCUGCUGUGAAAGACCGGGGCUCAACUCCGGUUCUGCAGUGGGUACGGGCAGACUAGAGUGCAGUAGGGGAGACUGGAAUUCCUGGUGUAGCGGUGAAAUGCGCAGAUAUCAGGAGGAACACCGAUGGCGAAGGCAGGUCUCUGGGCUGUAACUGACGCUGAGGAGCGAAAGCAUGGGGAGCGAACAGGAUUAGAUACCCUGGUAGUCCAUGCCGUAAACGUUGGGCACUAGGUGUGGGGGACAUUCCACGUUUUCCGCGCCGUAGCUAACGCAUUAAGUGCCCCGCCUGGGGAGUACGGCCGCAAGGCUAAAACUCAAAGGAAUUGACGGGGGCCCGCACAAGCGGCGGAGCAUGCGGAUUAAUUCGAUGCAACGCGAAGAACCUUACCAAGGCUUGACAUGGACCGGAAAGACCUGAAACCAGGGCCCCCGUCG